CCUACGGGCGGCAGCAGUGAGGAAUAUUGGUCAAUGGACGAGAGCCUGAACCAGCCAAGUAGCGUGAAGGAUGAAUGCCCUAUGGGUUGUAAACUUCUUUUAUAAGGGAAUAAAACGCGGCACGUGUGCCUUUUUGCAUGUACUUUAUGAAUAAGGAUCGGCUAACUCCGUGCCAGCAGCCGCGGUAAUAUGGAGGAUCCGAGCGUUAUCCGGAUUUAUUGGGUUUAAAGGGAGCGUAGAUGGGUUGUUAAGUCAGUUGUGAAAGUUUGGGGCUCAACCGUAGAAGUGCAAUUGAUACUGGCAGGCUUGAGUACAGGUGAGGUAGGCGGAAUUCGUGGUGUAGCGGUGAAAUGCUUAGAUAUCACGAAGAACCCCGAUUGCGAAGGCAGCUUACUAAACUGAGACUGACAUUGAUGCUCGAAAGUGUGGGUAUCAAACAGGAUUAGAUACCCUGGUAGUC
rnacentral:rRNA from 1 species